rnacentral:ncRNA from 2 species
ACUUUAUCUACCGGAAAAGGUUUUCGAUGAAAAUCGGAAUUAAAAGGGAACCGUGUUAAAAUCACGGACUGUCGCGCAACUGUAAGUAACCAAAAAGUUUCUGCCAAAAUAGGUCCACUGUCUUCUAAAGAGAUGGGAAGGGCGGCUGAAAUGUUAUAAGUCAGGAGACCUACCCAUUCUGGAAAGACAAU